GGCCAGGCUGGUCUUAAGCUCCUGACCUUAAGUGAUCUACCCACCUCGGCCUCCCAAAGUGCUGGGAUUACAGGAUAAGCCGUGUCUGGCCUUAUAUAAUUUAGAUACAAGUCAUGAGAUAUAUUAUUUGCAAAAAUAUUCUGGCACUCUGUAGCUGUCUUUCAUCUUUCCUGACUGUGUUCAUUGAAGCAGAAGUUGUUUGUUUUUUUAAUUUUAAUUGUAUCCAAUUUAUCCAUUUUUUUCCUUAUCAAACUGUGCUUUUGGUGUAAAAAUUAAAAAUCCAAUGCCGAAUUCAAGGACAGAUAGAUUUACUUUAUAUUUCCUCCUAAAAGUUUUGUAGUGUAAACCUUAUAUUUGAGUCUUGGGCUUAUUUUCAGUUAAUUAUUGUAUUUUUCAUGAGGUAGGGGUGUAAUUUUCUUUUUUAUUUACUUAUUUUUUGCAUAUGGAUGCCAAGUUGUCCCAGCACCAUUUGUUGAAAAUAGUUAGUUCCCCUUUUAAUUGUCUUGCCUCCCUUGUCAGAAGUUAAUUGGCUGCAAAUUAACUUAUGUGAGGGUUUAUGUCUGGACUUUAAAUUCUAUUUCAUUGAUCAAUAUUUAUAUCCUAUGCCAGUACCAGCUUUAUAAUAAGUUUAAAAAUUUGGAAAUGUGACUCUUCAAACUUUGUGUAUUUCAAUAUUGUUUUGGCUAUUCUGGGUCCAUUACAUUUUUAUAUAAAUGUUAGAAACAGCUUUUCACAAGAUGGCACCGAAAGCGAAGAAGGAAGCUCCUGCCCCUCCUAAAGCCGAAGCCAAAGCGAAGGCUUUAAAGGCCAAGAAGGCAGUGUUGAAAGGUGUCCACAGCCACAAAAAAAAGAAGAUCCGCACGUCACCCACCUUCCGACGGCCCAAGACACUGUGACUCCAGAGGCAGCCCAAAUAUCCUCAGGAGAGUGCCCCCAGGAGAAACAAACUGGACCACUAUGCUAUCAUCAAGUUUCCGCUGACCACUGAGUCUGCCAUGAAGAAGAUAGAAGACAACAACACACUUGUGUUCAUUGUGGAUGUUAAAGCCAACAAGCACCAGAUCAAACAGGCUGUAAAGAAGCUCUAUGACGUUGAUGUGGCCAAGGUCAACACCUGAUUCGGCCUGAUGGAGAGAAGAAGACAUAUGUUCGACUGGCUCCUGAUUACGAUGCUUUGGAUGUUGCCAACAAAAUUAGGAUCAUCUAAACUGAGUCCAGCUGGCUAAUUCUAAAUAUAUGUAUAUCUUUUCACCAUAAUAAAUAAAUAAAUAAAUAAAUGUUAGAAACAGGUUGUAAAUUUCUUCAAAGUAGGCAACCUUAAUUUUGAUAGGGCUUGCAUUGACUAUUUAGAUUAUUUUGAAGAGUGCUGUCAUCUUUAUAAUAUUGUGCCUUCUGAUGCAUAAAAUGCCUUUUAUCAGACGUCAUUUUGAAGAAGUCUGUGAUUACUGCUUUUGAUGUUCAGGUUGGCUCAAAAGUUUUAAAACUCUAAUGUGUGAUUAGUAACAUUAUACCAUCUUUAAAUAAUUAUCUGUAAUUUAUUAAGUGUGCAUAACAUAACUCUAGAAUAUACAUAAAUGUCACGAUACCUUCAUUUGUGAUUUUUCAGAUCCUUUAAUUCUGAUGCCAGGGGCGAAUUUCAGAAGAUUGUGUAAAAUACUCAUGUUUCACAAUCUCUCUAAAUAUUCAUUUUACAAUGUCAGCUUUAAUUACUUAUUUGAACAAAUUUUAUAUUUUAAUUUAUAGGCUAAGUUUAUCUGACAUUUUCAGAUAUAAUAUAUGCUUUCUAAUCUGUUUAUUUUUUAUUACAAUUCAGAGGUAGAAGUUUUAUUUUCUAUAUCCCUGGCAAUCAUUAUAGUCUAUAAUUAUUUUCUGUAAAUCUCUAAUUCCUGAAAAAUUUGUGAACUAUAUGAAAUAUUAAAAGCUGCUAUCUAAUGUUUUUCCAUUUUACUUGUAUUUUUUACCAUAAUAUUUAUUACUGUUUUUAAUUAGUAUAUUCUAUUUGUAUAGUACUAAGCAUUUUAGAAAGAAAGUAGAAAAUUAUUUUUUAAAAAGCACACCAACCAUUUUCAUCAGGAAAAUAGUUAAGAUGUAAAAUAAUAUGAUGAGGAUUAGCAUAAAAAGAUGUAGAUUCCAUGAAAAAAUUGGCAGCAAAUAAAGUGUACUGGAAACUUAAUUCUUUUUUAGAUUAAUCCUUCCUCUCUUUCCUUAUAUUUUUCACUAAAAUAAAUGAAUAAAAAGACAUAAAUAAAUGAAUAAAUGUAGGAAGAAGGUCAUAUUUUGAUACCAAUUUUAGUAAUGCUUUAUAUAUGGCAUUCUUAUAAGAUAUUUACUUAAAAUUCACAAUUUACUAGAUGUAGUCAUAUAGAUCUAACGCAGCACUUAGAGACAAACUUUAUUGGGGCCUUCAAAGAUUUAUAGGAAUAUAAAGUUAUACAACAAGAACUGGAUGUCACAAAAAGAACACACUGGUUGGCUGCUGCAGGACCAUCUCACAGGUGUUAUUUGCUUUGGUAAAUUCAUCAUGAUCCAGGCCAUUGCUGUAAAUCUUAGAGGUUUUACAACCCGAUCUUGCCCACAUCCUAGAAUUCAUCCAAAUUCAUGAGGUGAAAUCACGCUGAUUACAUCAUAAGA